AUAUUUUUCUUGGUCUUUUGGCUAAGAUAAAGUGUAAUAUUUGUUUUUAUCAGUUUAAUAUAUGAUAUGUGGUUCAUAUGUUCACUUUGAUAUUAAAUUUAAUUUUAUAGGUAUCAAAUAUGAUUAUAUGCCAUCACAACGUACAAGUAUUGUACUAGUCUAUUGUUGGGAUACGAUCCUCGAGCCCUGGGGCCCAU
rfam:Zea mays cultivar B73 chromosome 5, whole genome shotgun sequence.